UUAAAUUGAAGAGUUUGAUCAUGGCUCAGAUUGAACGCUGGCGGCAGGCCUAACACAUGCAAGUCGAACGGUAACAGGAAGCAGCUUGCUGCUUCGCUGACGAGUGGCGGACGGGUGAGUAAUGUCUGGGAAACUGCCUGAUGGAGGGGGAUAACUACUGGAAACGGUAGCUAAUACCGCAUAACGUCGCAAGACCAAAGAGGGGGACCUUCGGGCCUCUUGCCAUCGGAUGUGCCCAGAUGGGAUUAGCUUGUUGGUGGGGUAACGGCUCACCAAGGCGACGAUCCCUAGCUGGUCUGAGAGGAUGACCAGCCACACUGGAACUGAGACACGGUCCAGACUCCUACGGGAGGCAGCAGUGGGGAAUAUUGCACAAUGGGCGCAAGCCUGAUGCAGCCAUGCCGCGUGUAUGAAGAAGGCCUUCGGGUUGUAAAGUACUUUCAGCGGGGAGGAAGGGAGUAAAGUUAAUACCUUUGCUCAUUGACGUUACCCGCAGAAGAAGCACCGGCUAACUCCGUGCCAGCAGCCGCGGUAAUACGGAGGGUGCAAGCGUUAAUCGGAAUUACUGGGCGUAAAGCGCACGCAGGCGGUUUGUUAAGUCAGAUGUGAAAUCCCCGGGCUCAACCUGGGAACUGCAUCUGAUACUGGCAAGCUUGAGUCUCGUAGAGGGGGGUAGAAUUCCAGGUGUAGCGGUGAAAUGCGUAGAGAUCUGGAGGAAUACCGGUGGCGAAGGCGGCCCCCUGGACGAAGACUGACGCUCAGGUGCGAAAGCGUGGGGAGCAAACAGGAUUAGAUACCCUGGUAGUCCACGCCGUAAACGAUGUCGACUUGGAGGUUGUGCCCUUGAGGCGUGGCUUCCGGAGCUAACGCGUUAAGUCGACCGCCUGGGGAGUACGACCGCAAGGUUAAAACUCAAAUGAAUUGACGGGGGCCCGCACAAGCGGUGGAGCAUGUGGUUUAAUUCGAUGCAACGCGAAGAACCUUACCUGGUCUUGACAUCCACAGAACUUUCCAGAGAUGGAUUGGUGCCUUCGGGAACUGUGAGACAGGUGCUGCAUGGCUGUCGUCAGCUCGUGUUGUGAAAUGUUGGGUUAAGUCCCGCAACGAGCGCAACCCUUAUCCUUUGUUGCCAGCGGUCCGGCCGGGAACUCAAAGGAGACUGCCAGUGAUAAACUGGAGGAAGGUGGGGAUGACGUCAAGUCAUCAUGGCCCUUACGACCAGGGCUACACACGUGCUACAAUGGCGCAUACAAAGAGAAGCGACCUCGCGAGAGCAAGCGGACCUCAUAAAGUGCGUCGUAGUCCGGAUUGGAGUCUGCAACUCGACUCCAUGAAGUCGGAAUCGCUAGUAAUCGUGGAUCAGAAUGCCACGGUGAAUACGUUCCCGGGCCUUGUACACACCGCCCGUCACACCAUGGGAGUGGGUUGCAAAAGAAGUAGGUAGCUUAACCUUCGGGAGGGCGCUUACCACUUUGUGAUUCAUGACUGGGGUGAAGUCGUAACAAGGUAACCGUAGGGGAACCUGCGGUUGGAUCACCUCCUUACCUUAAAGAAGC
rnacentral:rRNA from 1 species